GGUUUCCAGCUUCAUGAGAAACUUUUUUCUGGCUUUGUAAUAGUGCAUGGAGUCUAGUGUUUCAUUAGUAAACUUUCUGCGGAAAAUUCCAAACUGAUAGAGUGGCAGGUUUCAAAAUAAUAUUAUUUGUUGCAGCGGUAGACCGGAGUAUGUGAGCUGACUGAGAGAAGUGAACGAGGCAACAUAAUAAUGUCGACGAUUGAAAACGCCAUUGCUUCGGACGAUCUUCCAUCUAGUUCGGAUAUCAAUGCGGACGCACAUGAGGAUCUGGAUAGUGACGAAGAAGGCGAUGAAUACUUGAUCCAAGGGACUUCUUCAGGUUCGCGAUUGAUGUAUGGAGGAACCAAAAGGGUCCAUCAGAGUCCCUCACCUGAAAGAAUGGAUACCUCCUCGAAUUCUCUAUCGAAACGGGCAUGCCUGUCGAUGGACACGGUGGAACUGCAAGAUAAUCAGAAAUUCCACCGAAUGGAAGUACGCUCCAUUCCUGGACUGGUGUCAUGCAUCCACGAAGUGGCCAUCCCUCCGGGCGCCGACUACAUUCCGCUCCAGCCCCGUCAAGGCCCGCCGCUCCGCGAGUAUAAAUUCGUUCUGGACUCUUUCCAGACGCAGGCCAUCCUCUGCAUUGAUAAUCUACAAUCGGUGCUGGUGGCGGCUCACACAUCGGCGGGGAAAACAGUGGUUGCAGAGUAUGCUAUCGCGAAAGGCUUAAAAAACAAUCAACGUGUUAUUUACACAUCACCCAUAAAAGCCUUGAGUAACCAGAAAUAUCGGGAAAUGAUGGACCAUUUCCAGGAGCAAGUCGGUCUCAUGACUGGCGAUAUCACUAUAAAUCCCAAUGCGAGCGUGCUGAUUAUGACCACUGAGAUUUUAAGGAGCAUGCUUUACCGCGGAAAUGAGAUAAUGCGUGAAGUCGGAUGGGUGAUAUUCGAUGAAAUUCAUUACAUGCGCGAUCCGGAGAGAGGUGUCGUAUGGGAAGAAACAAUUAUCCUCUUACCAGAUAAAGUCAGAUUCGUCUUCUUGUCCGCCACAAUUCCCAAUGCCAUUCAGCUGGCGGAAUGGAUAGCCUGGCUGCACAAACAACCCUGUCACGUCGUGUACACAGAACACCGUCCCGUGCCCUUACAACAGUAUUUGUAUCCGGCUGGAAGUAAAGGGCUCUAUCUCAUCAUGGACGAGAACAGGAACUUCCGAGAAGCGAAUUUCGCAACCGCCAUGCAGCAUUUACAGGAAGGAUCUACAUCGGAUGAAUUAAGCAGAAAGCAACAAGCCCAUCGCAACAAAUCAGGCCAAGCCACCGUAACGAAGUUGGUGCAGAUGGUUAUGGAAAGAAAUUACGAACCAGUUAUUGUCUUUUCCUUCAACCGACGCGAAUGUGAGCAGUACGCUACCAGCAUGCACAAAAUGGACUUUAAUACGGAUGAAGAAAAAGAAAUGGUCGAUGCCGUGUUUAAAAACGCAAUCGAAGUAUUAUCGCCGGAUGAGCGCAAAUUGCCUCAGAUUCUCAAUACCGUUCCUCUUCUCAAACGUGGCAUCGGUAUCCAUCAUUCUGGGCUGUUGCCCUUAAUCAAAGAAACAAUUGAGCUGUUGUUUCAAGAAGGAUUGAUUAAAGUAUUGUUUGCCACCGAGACGUUUGCUAUGGGUUUAAACAUGCCAGCAAGAACAGUUUUGUUCACUAGUUUGAGGAAAUUCGACGGAAAGGAGAACAGAUUUAUUACUUCCAACGAAUUUAUUCAGAUGAGUGGUCGUGCCGGACGUCGAGGAAUCGAUACUCGUGGCAUUGUGUUAAUCCAAGUGGACGAACAGAUUCCCUCGGCGGUUUUGAAAAACAUUGUCAAAGGCAGCGCCGAUCCGUUAAAAAGCGCUUUUCGGUUGACAUAUAAUAUGAUCCUGAAUCUUCUACGAGUUGACGGAAUCUCUCCUGAAUAUAUAUUGGAGAGGUCUUUCUUGCAGUACCAGAGUUAUGCCGAUGUUCCCAAAACACUCGAAGAAAUAUCGAAGAAGAAAGAGGAAUUGGAGAAACUGGUGAUACCUCGACCCGAAGACUUAAGUCAGUACUUUCGUAUUCUAAACGAAGUGACGCGGUUGACCAAAACGGUGCAAGAAAUCAUCACCAGCGAGGAAAAUGUUUUGGCCUGGUUAACACCGGGACGGUUGCUACGUCUGAGGCACAACGAGAUGGAUUUCGGUUGGUGUCCGUUCCUACAAUACAAGAAAACCAAAAGCGAAAAGAAAAAAGAUAAGAGCGCUGAGAACUCCGAAAUUUGCUUGAUAGUAGCGCUGCCUGUCAGAGAUUUGGCCAAUCUGGAAGGAUCAGAUGGUCUCAGCUAUUUAAAGCCUGUUAGCAUACAAGAGGCGAAAGAUGCUUUGAUAAUCAAAGCAAACCUUGGAGCUAUUCAGGCUUUGAGCAGCUUGAAGCUGUAUGUACCAGAAGAUCUGUCAAACAAAGACGGACGAUUGCAGUUGUUGAAGUCUCUGAAGGAGGUUCACAAGCGGUUUCCGGAUGGUAUGCCCGCACUUGACCCUGUUAACCACAUGAAAAUUAAAGAUGAGAAAUUCACCGACUCGGUUAAAUUGUUGACUGUUUUGGAAGCCCGAAUGAAGGCGCUACCAAUCCAUGGUGAUCCAGCCAAAGAUGAUCUGAUGCUUCUCCAUAAAAAGAAAAUCUCACUGGAGAAAGACAUUUCCAGAAUGGAGAAAGAGGUUAAGGACACUACCAAAGUGGGACUGCAUGAUGAACUGAAAAGUCGAAUUCGAGUGCUGAAGAAACUGGGUUACUGCAAUGCCGACGGCAUAUGUUCUUUAAAAGGGCGAGCUGCCUGUGAAAUUAGCUGUGCGGAUGAACUUUUGUUGACGGAAAUGCUCUUCGCCGGUCACUUCAAUGACCUGGAGCCGGCCUAUGUUGUGUCGUUAUUGAGCUGCUUCGUAGCCGAGAACAGUAAAUCUUUUGGCAAUGAAGCGCCAAAGAUCAAUGAGCGGUUAUCGGGUGUCCUUCGGCAAGCUCAAGAGAUCUCGAAGAAAAUUGCGACAGUUUCCAAGGAAUGUGAUGUGCCAGAGGAAAAAGCCGUUACGCGCGAGCUCAAACCCGAAUUGAUGGAUAUUUGCCUACAGUGGUGUAAUGGUUCCAGCUUUGCCGAAAUCUGCAAAAGUGGUAUUUAUGAAGGGACCAUUGUACGCUGCCUACGGUUACUGGAAGAACUACUGCGGCAAAUGGCUGCAGCGGCCAAGGUUAUCGGUAAUGAGCCGCUGGAAGAGCGCUUCACCUCGGGUAUCCUGAAGCUCAAGCGUGAUAUUAUAUUUGCCGCGAGCCUGUAUCUGUGAACUGUAUCGCAGUGCUCGCCUGAAACUUCUUAUACUGUCUGAUGUUCUGGAAGUGCGUGGUGAUCAUCGAGUGUGUUUCUAAUUUGAUCGUGGAAUAAAUUGAGAUGCCAUUAUUGAUAUUAUGAUCCUCCUGUAUCGUGCCGUCGAUUUAUACGGACGUAGUAACAUCUGUUUUUGUCACUUACAAUGUUACUCGGAAACAGUGAUUUGGAAUGAUAAGUGCAUAGAAAAACCGGUCACAUUGUUCAGUUGCUGCCUAUUUUGCUUAAAUGCGUAGGCCGAAAAAUUGGGUUUUGGUGGUAAGUACAUUUAAUAAUUACCGUAUGUGGUGUUAUGGUUAUAAGUAACUUGUGAGAAAUUUCUUAACAGCAAAUGUGGAACCGGUUACCAACUGCGACAUUUAUCUCAACUUUGUCCAGACUUUAUCGCGGCGAAUCGGGAAAGCCGAAAGCUGUUAGUGUUGUACGUAAUUUGGUACCUAUGGUUGUUAUCGUCGUUCAAUGACGCAUUCAGUGAUUUCGUGAUAAAUUCUUAUUAAUUUUGUUCAUUGUUAAAAUCUAUGGUAGCUGCCGAGUGCAGACUGGCCCGUGUUGAUGGUCCUGUUUGUUUAUGCUACUCGCCUCCGGCUUUUGAGCAUUCAUUUUGUGCAAAUGAUAUCAUAAAUGGAAAGCGAAAGUGUAUGUUAAACACCGUACGUUCUUCAUGCUAAAUUUUCCGUAUACCGUACUGACAGUCAACCAUUGCAAAGCCCGUAUUUUAUCGUUAAUUCCUGCUGUUUAUUGCUGUUCUGCAAAUUUGUUGACGAAUGACGAUCAAUGAUCGAGCGUGGGUUGAUCGAUCAGCUGAUACACUACCUUUACGGACCAGUAAACUACAGUAUAGGAAUUACGCUUGAAUGCCUUGAUGCCAUCGUAACUCGGAAGGAAAAGGAAAAAUCUUGUCUGAUCUUGAUAAUGAAUGCUCGAUUUUCUUGAAAUAGUGUACUAUCUGAGCUCAAGGUUUUAUCCGUCGGAACUACAGCUUGUGAUCACCAAAGUCGCGCUGCACUACUGGCUGUCAUUUGGAUUUAUUCUUGUCCGCGACUUCCCAUAUUCGCGGUACAUUAUGGGAAGUAGUUGUAUGAAGCCGAAGCGAUGGUUGCCCGGAGGACCAAAUUACAAUAACAAGGACAAGGCUCGCAGUUCGGUACGUGGACAGUCGCUUGGCACAUCAGCAUCAUUAAGACCCACAGCAUCCACGACUACCAUCAUUCCUAGCAGUAAUGCUGUCGCCGCUCCGGUCCAUGCGUCGGAGCUGGUGGAGCUGCACAGAACGGAUCUCCAAGCAGGAGCAAGCGCAACAGGUAAAGAACUGCUUCCCAGCUCGUCAGCCGUCAACAGUCGUUUCGCUUCCAUGCACCCGUGGAAUAACGGAGGACUGAAUCGUCGAGGCGGCAAAGUUGUGAUAUUCGAAAUCAGUGAUUUCUAUCCGCCCUUCAAAUCCCAGUGCCAGUUGGCACAGCGUUCCCAUAUUUUCAAGGAGACGCAACAACUGACCAAACUGCUCCGCGCCGCCGGGGUGGCCGCUCUCCAAGUGGAACAAAAUUCCACCACGGACGAGGUGCGGGAUGUAAUGGCGCGACUGGCCACCGACUCAACCAUGGAACACUAUAACUGUCUGGUGUGUGUCAUCUUGACCCGUGGUGUGUUGACGCUGGUGCGGACGACACCGGAUAUCGGCGAUGAUUUCCUGCCGUUUUACGAUGGCUACCUGCGCCGUAGCGAACUGAUUGAUCCGCUGCGAAAAUCUCCGUAUUGUACCAAAAUUCCUGUUUUGUUCAUGUUCGAGGGAAUGCGGGAUGGAUGGCUCUCUGAUCCGCUGGAUGUGAAUAACGUGGCCCUGUUGAUGCCCACAACACCACGGACCUGACAAUUAUUAGCGGAAACCUGCAGCUCAUACAAUUAUUGUGAUGACAUCGCGGUUAUUUGGUAUUUUCAUGCCAUAAUCUUCGCACACAGUGCCAUACAUUUACGGCUAGACGGGGUCGUUGUGAUGCCGGCGCUGGCCAAUGGUUAAUUUUUGAAUCUAUUAAAUUUUAUAUUAUAAUUCUGUAAAAUUUUAUGAUUUUUCCAAUCCGUUCCAUUGAUGCGAAGGCACUUAAUUCUUUGUUUGAACUGUUACUUAUGAUUGAUUUAAAUUUGAAUUUUUGUGUUCACACAUUUUAUGUCUUAUGCAAACACUGUACGAGAUAUCUUUUCCAUUGACGGUUGUUUGAAUAAGAUCUGGCUCGGAGAUAUUGCUAGCGAAUAUGGAUUAUGUUGGCACGUUUGGUAUAUUCUGUAGACAACAUGACUGCGUAGAGAAAAUUUAGCUGGAUGAACUGCAGAGUUGGAACUAUAUGAAUGUUCAAGUAGGAAUGUUUGCUCAGUACAGAUAUCGAGUAGGGCGACAUAAAUUUUAUCCAUGGCGGAGUAGUCUCCAAAACAUCUUUAUCUAAAAUUUUAAUAAACUGAGUGCAAGAAUUUGAAAAGGCGAGCUUUUUUUAACAAUGCAGUCGUAGUUUUUACGGGCAUGUACAGGAUCUGUAUGUAUCCGCAGUAGGCCGGCUUCUUCGCAGAUCCUUCGCCAGUUUGUAUACCGGAAUGGUGAAUCAGGUGAAAGGGCCCUUCACCCGCCGAAGAACGCAAGCUUCACCUCC